UACAUCGGUGACAGGUGGUGGCAUGGUUGUCGUCAGCUCGUGUCGUGAGAUGUGGGUUAAGUCCCGCAACGAGCGCAACCCCUAUUGUUAGUUGCCAUCAUUCAGUUGGGCACUCUAGCGAGACUGCCGGUAAUAAACCGGAGGAAGGUGGGGAUGACGUCAAAUCAUCAUGCCCCUUAUGACCUGGGCUACACACGUGCUACAAUGGUUGGUACAACGAGUUGCGAGUCGGUGACGGCGAGCUAAUCUCUUAAAGCCAAUCUCAGUUCGGAUUGUAGGCUGCAACUCGCCUACAUGAAGUCGGAAUCGCUAGUAAUCGCGGAUCAGCACGCCGCGGUGAAUACGUUCCCGGGCCUU
rnacentral:rRNA from 1 species